rnacentral:sRNA from 1 species
AUCAUUAAAAAUGUAACCGGACCGGGACGUCGGGGGCGAGAGCCCCCGGCGGACCGCGAAAGGAGAUAUCAUACACCCUGUGUUUAUUUACCUUUGUUGCUUUGGCGGGCCGUCCGUAAGGCGUCGGCCCCGGCUGACCGCGCCCGCCAGAGGACCCAAACUCUUUUAUCAGUGAUGUCUGAGUACUAUAUAAUAGUUAAAACUUUCAACAACGGAUCUCUUGGUUCUGGCAUCGAUGAAGAACGCAGCGAAAUGCGAUAAGUAAUGUGAAUUGCAGAAUUCAGUGAAUCAUCGAAUCUUUGGACGCACAUUGCGCCCGCUGGUAUUCCGGCGGGCAUGCCUGUUCGAGCGUCAUUAUGACCAAUCAAGCUCUGCUUGGCCUUGGGGCCCGCUGUACCGGCGGCCCUUAAAACCAGUGGCGGUGCCGUCUGGCUCUAAGCGUAGUAAUACUCCUCGCUACAGGGUCCAGCCGUCCACCCGCCAGAACCCCCAACUUUCUCAAGGUUGACCUCGGAUCAGGUAGGGAUACCCGCUGAACUUAAGCAUAUCAU